GUCAUGUAUUAAUCUUUCUCUUUGUUUAUCAAGUUCCUGUUAAAGGUUGAAGUCCAUUCAGUUAGUGUUAAUAUACAUUGUUAACUAUCAUUACAGGUUGGGCAGCAAUGUAGUGCAGCCUCCACGUGGCGCUGCCUGGGAUCACUAGUGGCUACUACUGCUAGUGAUGCUAAGAGCACUACACACAAGAAGAAUAUAACAAGACUGUACUAACAGUUCAAGUUGAAAUAAAGAUGAAAUGUCAAGUCAUGUAAUACUAAAGAAACAAGAGAUUUAUGAAGACACAAACAUUGUUGACACUUCCUCUUCAUUUACUAUUUAGAUAUUCAUUCAUUAAUAUUUUGCUAAUUUUUUUAAACAAUUACUUUACAUUGUGAUUGAA